rnacentral:rRNA from 1 species
UACGGAGGGUGCAAGCGUUAUCCGGAUUUACUGGGUUUAAAGGGUGCGUAGGUGGGUAGGAAAGUCAGUGGUGAAAUCUUCGGGCUUAACCCGGAAACUGCCAUUGAUACUAUUUAUCUUGAAUACUUUGGAGGUAAGCGGAAUAUGUCAUGUAGCGGUGAAAUGCUUAGAUAUGACAUAGAACACCAAUUGCGAAGGCACUUUACUGGGCUAUUACUAACACUCAGAGACGAAAGCUAGGGUAGCAAAUGGG